UUUUAUAAAUUUUAUUUUCCUGAGAGUAGUUUUAAGAUUACAACGAGCAAGUACAAUUUAUGCCCUUUUUUUAUUACAUUUAUUAUUUCUCCAAAUAUUUAGUUCUUAUGUUAGAACUUAUGUUAUUUGUAACAUUUCUUUAAAUAAUGGAAUACAUACAUCUUUUUAAAUAUUGCAGAAAAAUUACAAAGAUGAUUCUAUUUCAUGACUACUUACAGCAUCAUCAACAUUUUGACAUAUAUAAACAUAUUCAUUCAGAACACUUUUGCUACAUAAACUUCUAUUAUAAAUUUCCGUUUUUUAUGCUUUUCCAUUUAUCAUUGUAAUGAAUAUUAGAAUAAUCAUUUCCAGGUUUAUCCUCAUUUUUGAAUAAAAGUGAACACAGAAAUGAUCAGACAAAAUAUCGGGUCAUUUACUUAAAAUGUUAAAUAAAUUGUAUCAAGUCGGUAUUAAUAAAAUAGUCUAUUACACUGCUGCCUUGUGUAUUCACUAUUCAGGCAUGCACAUUUUUUUUACAUUUACCUGCAUUAUUUUCUUCGUAGCAUCAGACUUACUUGGACAAAAUAUACAAAAGAUUAAAACAAUUAUUUGGAAACAGAUACUUAUAUGCAGUGAGUAAAUAAUAAAUGUUAUCAUAACAUGGUUAAAUACAGCUCAAAACAGAAAUGAAAAUGACGAAGAAGUUAGUUUCUUGGCCGAAGAAUGUACCUUUAUAGAUGCAAACUUAAAAAACAGCGCUACAGCAUCAACUAAGCCCGGCCUUAAUUCAGAAACUCAAAGUGGUAUUUGCAAAGAUUCGGAAAUACGAAUUGACGAACUCGGAUUAAGUUUACACCAAGAUGAGAGUCAAAGUGAAAUGGAUCCAAAUUCCUUUACAACUGCGCAAAACAAGGAUACCGAGAAAAAAGGAGAACAACCGAGUAAAGGAUUCAUUAAUUCAGUUUAUGGCAUUGCGUCAUAUUUAUAUGUUCAAAAGAAGGUAGCUGUUACCUGAUACUAGCGGUGAAGGUGCGAUUUUGAGAAGGGGAUAAAAUAUUUGGAUUUUUGUGUAACAAAGUGUUUUCAUUACUGGGAAUAUUAUCUUAAUUGUUGGAUAUACUUACUUUUUGCGCGUAAUGUUAUGCGGUCACAUUUAUUAUAUCAUAAAUUUAUCAAGUCACACCGUUCAUUUUGAAAAAAAAAACAAACAAACAGUUUUCUCUUUUCUCGACUGAUGUUACAAUUUAUAUGAUGUG